rnacentral:rRNA from 1 species
CCUCCGCAGCUACACAUGCAGUCGAGCGGAUGACGGGAGCUUGCUCCUUGAUUCAGCGGCGGACGGGUGAGUAAUGCCUAGGAAUCUGCCUGGUAGUGGGGGACAACGUUUCGAAAGGAACGCUAAUACCGCAUACGUCCUACGGGAGAAAGCAGGGGACCUUCGGGCCUUGCGCUAUCAGAUGAGCCUAGGUCGGAUUAGCUAGUUGGUGAGGUAAUGGCUCACCAAGGCGACGAUCCGUAACUGGUCUGAGAGGAUGAUCAGUCACACUGGAACUGAGACACGGUCCAGACUCCUACGGGAGGCAGCAGUGGGGAAUAUUGGACAAUGGGCGAAAGCCUGAUCCAGCCAUGCCGCGUGUGUGAAGAAGGUCUUCGGAUUGUAAAGCACUUUAAGUUGGGAGGAAGGGCAGUAAGCUAAUACCUUGCUGUUUUGACGUUACCGACAGAAUAAGCACCGGCUAACUCUGUGCCAGCAGCCGCGGUAAUACAGAGGGUGCAAGCGCUAAUCGGAAUUACUGGGCGUAAAGCGCGCGUAGGUGGUUUGUUAAGUUGGAUGUGAAAGCCCCGGGCUCAACCUGGGAACUGCAUCCAAAACUGGCAAGCUAGAGUACGGUAGAGGGUGGUGGAAUUUCCUGUGUAGCGGUGAAAUGCGUAGAUAUAGGAAGGAACACCAGUGGCGAAGGCGACCACCUGGACUGAUACUGACACUGAGGUGCGAAAGCGUGUGGAGCAAACAGGAUUAGAUACCCUGGGUAGUCCACGCCGUAAACGAUGUCAACUAGCCGUUGGAAUCCUUGAGAUUUUAGUGGCGCAGCUAACGCAUUAGGUUGACCGCCUGGGGAGUACGGCCCGCAAGGUUAAACUCAAAGGAAUUGACGGG